AUACGUAGGUGGCAAGCGUUGUCCGGAAUUAUUGGGCGUAAAGCGCGCGCAGGUGGUUCCUUAAGUCUGAUGUGAAAGCCCCCGGCUCAACCGGGGAGGGUCAUUGGAAACUGGGGAACUUGAGUGCAGAAGAGGAUAGUGGAAUUCCAAGUGUAGCGGUGAAAUGCGUAGAGAUUUGGAGGAACACCAGUGGCGAAGGCGACGGUCUGGUCUGUAACUGACACUGAGGCGCGAAAGCGUGGGGAGCAAACAGGAUUAGAUACCCUGGUAGUCCACGCCGUAAACGAUGAGUGCUAAGUGUUGGGGGGUUUCCGCCCCUCAGUGCUGCAGCUAACGCAUUAAGCACUCCGCCUGGGGAGUACGGUCGCAAGACUGAAACUCAAAUGAAUUGGCGGGG
rnacentral:rRNA from 1 species